rnacentral:rRNA from 1 species
GACGAACGCUGGCGGCGUGCUUAACACAUGCAAGUCGAACGGAAAGGCCCUGCUUGCAGGGUGCUCGAGUGGCGAACGGGUGAGUAACACGUGGGUGAUCUGCCCCUUACUUUGGGAUAAGCCUGGGAAACUGGGUCUAAUACUGGAUAGGACCAUGCUGUAGGUGUUGUGGUGGAAAGAUUAGUUUCGGUAAGGGAUGAGCUCGCGGCCUAUCAGCUUGUUGGUGGGGUAAUGGCCUACCAAGGCGUCGACGGGUAGCCGGCCUGAGAGGGUGGACGGCCACAUUGGGACUGAGAUACGGCCCAGACUCCUACGGGAGGCAGCAGUGGGGAAUAUUGCACAAUGGGCGCAAGCCUGAUGCAGCGACGCCGCGUGGGGGAUGACGGCCUUCGGGUUGUAAACUCCUUUCAGCCAUGACGAAGCCCUUGUGGUGACGGUAGUGGUAGAAGAAGCACCGGCUAACUACGUG